rnacentral:lncRNA from 1 species
CAAUAAUGCAUUCCAAAUGGCCUCGAUAAUUUAUCUUCUUUGUUUCCCGCUUUUGGUUCUAAUUCCCUAUAUAUUCCUGACAUAUUUCCAAUAUAAAAAUUAACAUACUACAAAUUAAUUUAAAAUAAAAAUUUAUUUGGAGAGCAUUAAGAUAAUUUAUAAGUUAUGAGCUCAUUAAUCAAUACUGCAAAUGAAAAAUUGAUAAUUUUAACCUUAUUAAAUGUAUACUUUUUAGUGUCAAUUACUGGUGACUUCUUUAGGUUUCAUAUAGUGAAUGAUUGGGAUGACAUUGACAUUGAUACAGAGGUAGUUAAUCCAUCAUUAUCCCAAUUUUUCAAUGAUUGUCCCUCGCAACCAUUUUCAAAGGAUGCUAUCUCUAAAGAAUCUCCAAUAAAAACAGUCAUGCGGCAUACACAAGACUUUUCAUCACAAGUUGACCAACUAGAAUCUUUUAUAAGAAAGGCAAAGCAGCCAUUAUCUUUAAGGAAUACAAUCAAAGGUUCACAAAAAGAAGCUAACAAAAAAGAAGUCUACAUUUGUCAAAUAAGGGCUUCUGAGAGACAAGCAAGUGAAAAGCAAUAUGCAAUUAUUUUAAAGAUGGUUUAAAAUAAGAAAGCAAAUAAAACAAGAAAGAGAAAUGUUGCAGAUUUAGAGCAUGUAAUGAGGAGGCCCAAGACAACGAAGAAGAGGAAGUCAAGCAUGAAUAUAGAUGAUGGUGCAAGUUCAUCAUCACAAAUUGUUUGUCAUGAUAAUGAGUUAUCAAAAGCAAAGGAUGAUUUAUAUGCAUUUUCUAAAUCAGAAGAUGAUAUUGAUGAUGGAGAAUCUAGAGAACAAGAAACUUAAUAUCAUUGGGAUGAGCAUAAUGCAAAUGAUGACUUAUUAGAUGGAUAUGAAAGUGGCAAUGGAGAUUAUGGGCUAAUGUCAGAAUUAGAAAAAGAGCAUCCUUUUAUUAAAAUGUCCAUUUGUUGGGUCGUCAAAUGCUUGUAGAUGGAAUAGAACCUGUUGAAUUCAAAGUUGGACAAGUGUUAAAAUAUUUUCAAUCUUUUGCGUGGGCUCUAAAGGAUUUCUGUAUACAACAAAAUUUCAAAGGAAAAAGAACUAAGUUUAAGAGAAGAAGAGUUGUAUGUAUAUAUUAUAUAGACAGGCGCCUCUUCAAAGAACAUGUACUACUUUGGAGAUUUGGACAAUGUUUUUAGAUCACAACCUUACACAGUAUAUAUACUUGUGAGGAUCUUGUCAAAAAUCCAAAGCUUACUAUUGGUUAGAUUGUAAGGAAGAAUAAAGUGACAGAUGAUCCAAAGACUACUGUAGGUAGUCUCAUUGACGAUCUUAAGACAAUGUAUGAAGUAGAGGUAGAUCUCUAGGAAGUUUACAGAGCAAAAAAAAGAUAUUUAAGUCAGUUACUGCUGGAGAUCAUGUUAAAAUCUUUAGACAACUUUGAAAUUUUACUCACAUCAUUAAAAAAACAUAUGCUAAAGGCUUUAACAUUGCUUAAAGUAACAAAAAAAAACCUACAGAUAAAUGCAAAUUCCAAAGGUUCAUGGUGAGCUUUAUAUGUCUUAGAUAUGGCUUCAAGGAAGGGUGUAGGCCAUUUAUUAGGCUGGAUGGUUGUCAUUUAAACAACAAAAUCGGCUUUGAACAGUUAAGAAUAUAUGUCGUUAAAGGAAUGUAACGGCAUAAAUUGACAUGCUUUUGAUCCACAAGCUGUUAAAAAUCACAUACUUUUUACGGCAUUAAUAUGAUUUUGUUAUUUAUGCCGUUGAAAAAAUUAUAAAGCUAAAAAUGUUUGCCAUCAUAGAUAAAUUUAAUAGCUUUUACCACUUUUCUAUUUUAACCAAAGACGAGCUAUUGCAUUUGCCAAUAAAUUAUGAGUUGAUAGCUAGCUUUAACAAAUGUUAUGCAAAUGAAUAUUCUGGUGAACAAUUUCAGUCAAAUGACAAUCAAUAAAAUUAAAAAAUCAAACAAUUCCAACUUUACAUAUAUCAUAAACAAUAUCUCUUCCAUUCAUGAAAUACAAUUAUGAAUACAAGAAUUUGUACUGUCAAAUUGUCAAGUGGCAAUCCAUAAAUUUGAAACCAAUGCAUACACAACACUUAAACAAUGAAGUUGUUAUAUUUCGACAAAAUGAAAAAUGUACAACUAAAACAAAUCGAUUGAAAAUUUGAUAAAAGAAAAGAAAUUUUAACUUUUAAAAAAAAGUUCUUCAACUUCUUCCUCUUGAACUCAUGUGCCCUUAUAAGUAAAAUCCAAAUCAUUAUAUUAAAAAAAUGAUAAUAAAAUUAAACUUAGCAUUUAAAUUAUGUGUGUGUGCUAGCAAAUGAUUUCAUUAUCAAAGAAAGCAAACUGAAUAUAUUUCUUUAACACAAAUAAUCAAACAGUUGGUAUGCUACCAUAUUCUAUAUACCCAAAGUGCAAUUUAUACAUAUCUCUAGCAACAAUUCUCCUAGAAAAAUGAUCAAGUUUUGGACAUGCUUUACUUAUAGGUUUCUAAAACCCUUCUUUCUCAAUAAAACUAAAAGUCAAUUCAUCAAUGAUCAUUUCAAUGCAUGCUUUUCUAAGUUCUUUUUUGCUACAAGACAUUGCCAAAAGACUACCCCUACCAUCGAUCAUGUUAUCCUAAAAAACGAAGGGAUUUUGUUUUGAAUCAAAUUUCAUAUCAACAUAGACUGUACAUAUUAACAAGUGAUUUGAUGAAGUACGAAUCCCAAUAAGUCUAGAAUAAUACACAUACACUUUAUAUUAGUAGUCAGACUUACAUUUUGUAUCAUUCUCAAUUUUUGCGUAAUGUUCCCAUACUUUUGAAACUCUCCCUCCUCUUCUCUAGCUCAUUUGUGUAUUAGUAACACUUUGAGUUCUUGGAGGUGCAGAGAUAUUACCUCCUUUAGCAUUACUAGAUGAAUUUGCUUGCAUCUGUAAGGAAAAAUUUUAAGAUGUAAGGAAAAGUUUUAAGACAUAUGAAAAUUGUCAUUAUGUUAUUAAAAUUAACAAAUAAAGAUAAUAAUAAUCAUAUUUGUGCUAAUUUGAUUGAGCUUGACACCUUAACAACCAAAAAUUGACCAAUUUGUUUCAUCAAAAAAUAUUAUAGAACAUUGAAUAAUUGUAUCCAAAUCGAUUGGGCUUGACCUGUUAACAACCAAAAUUGAUCAAUUUGUCUCAAAACAAUAAUCGACUAGUAAAUUGAAAAGAAAUAAGUGUUGGGGAAAAAUUAGGUUUUUAAAUUUUUUAUAAAACCUUUUAAAGAUCGCUCUCAUAUAAUAUAUAAGAAUUUGUAAUCUAGAAAUCGUACCUUGAAAAUCCGAUUUGGCUUUGUCCGUUGAAGUGAUUUAGGCUCCUAAAUCACGAUCCACCACCACCACUCCUGUUAGAUCACGAUCUGUCACCACCACGCUUGUUAGAUCACGAACUGUCACCAAUGAUCUUCCAGGUUAUGACUCAGGUUCGAUCUGCACUUGACGUGUGGGUGCCUUUAUCACUACCAAAGCAACUAGCACAAGAAAAUUUUUCUCUCAACAAUAGAGAGAAAAAUCUUAUUCCCCAAUCUGUAUAAAGUGGCUGCUCACUUUUCUUUAGAGAAAAUAAGCCUUUUAUUAUCACCCUUUAGUGAAAACCCUAGGCUCCAAAUAAUCCAAAAACAAAACCCACGUUAUUUUCUUUUUCAAUAGGGAACCCACCUUGUAAAAUAACAUAAGGCCCCUUACACAAAAGCUAAUUAAAUGGAGCCUCCCACUAAAUGAUAUAUUUAGGCUUUUGACCCAAAUAGCUAGUUAUCUUACUUAUUAGUCCAGUAGUGGUGCAGUCAAUUAAAUGAGAUAACCCUGGGAUCAUUUGGGAACAUACAAUAGUGGCUACAAUAAUUAGGCCUGUAAUUAAACUAGCCUAAUUAUUUAAUUCCAAAUCUACUCCACUAAAAGAUUGGAACUGACUUCCAUAAUUGUAUGCUCGAAUAAUAAUUCAUCCCAAGCCACAUUGAUUUCUUUACUGCACAAUCCUUUGUACCACAUCGUUAAUUAAAUUGAUAUCUCAACUGUCCAAUCAAUUUAAUAACAUCUUAUUCCUUGAUCCUUACUGGUUUUCUCUAAUGAUCAUUUUCAACAUACCAAAUAUGUUGACACACUCUGGCCAGAGAAUUCUAUGAUCAAGUACCGAAAAC